UCACUGUAAAAAAUAUGUAAAAAACACGGAGGGAAGAAAAACACGGAGGUAUGAGCCUGGGAGUCGGGUAAGAAAAAAAACAUGGAGGUAUCAGGUAUGUGUCAUUUCUUUCCUAAUCAAACUUUACUUCAUUUGUUCCUUUCCCCUUUUCGAAGUUUUCAAACCCUAACUCCAUUAUCUGAUUACAAAACCUGAUUACAAAAAGGCGUAUGUUACCCUAAAAUAUCCAUUAUCUGUAUUCCCGGACCUUUACCGGAUCCGUUUGAUUAAGGAAGAUAAGAAAAGCUUGAACAAGCAAUCCAAAUCAAGUUUUGUGGAAGGAGAUGAAGCCAAGAAAAAGGUGCAUUGGCUCGAUGGAAAUGCUAAGCCCGAGCUCUGGCCGUUGACGUGGCAGAGACCGUAGUCAGGGAGUAAAGUUUAAAUACUAUUUCCCACCAACCUAUUUCUUCUCUUCCUUUAUAGAACCCUCCGUCUCUCCUAAACCCUAGACACAGAGAAAAUGGCCGCCGGAUUCUUGAGAAACGUAGUCAAAAGGAAAUAUUCUGAUGACCAUCUAUGGCGAAUACAUUCAAUCACCGACUCAAUUAAAGCUCUGGUCAUCAGAAACCAAUUUCCUCGCCAGCAGCAGCAACCCUCAAAAGCUUUUAGCUGAUUCCCCAACUCUAUUUAUAGAAAAGCCAAGGAGCUGGAUUUUUCAGUUCCUAGUUCAAUACUAUCCUCACCCUUUUUGUCCACGGCGUUGUCUGUUACAAAGAUUAGGGUUGUGGGGUGGUAUUUGGGGAUGAUUAAAUCUCGCCCCAUUCUCACAAAAUCCAUCACUUCUGCCCUUGUUUACACUGUUGCGGAUUUCACUUCUCAGUUACCAAAACCCUUGUCCCAGAAUGUUUUGUACAUGUUUCUUUUUGUGGGUAUAUAUGCAUUUUGUUUAGAAUGUAUAAUUUUAAGUUAAAGCAUGAAUCUUGGGCUUGUUUGGUUAUUAUGCUUGAUGUUCCCCCUAAUUAAUGUGUGGUUUAUUGUCAUUAGGUGGUUACCUUGGUGGAUUUUGAUGCUGAACUGAAAAGGGUUAGAACUUUAUGGCUUUAUCAGUGGUCCAUUUUAGUUGAUUUUAGCAUUAUACUUUUUUUGGUGUGUAAAUUAAAUUUAUUGAAAGAAAAAUAUGUUCAGCAAGUUUUAAAGGAGGUGCAUUUCCCCCAUACAACUGAACAAGCUAAGACGGCAUUCCCUUCAAAGCAAACACUCCAACAAGAAGCAAAACAUUACCCAAUAAAACUAACAAAGAAACAUUAAGCCUACGAAAAUAUGUUUUGACUAAUAUUACACUCCAUAGAAAGUAGCCAAUUCUUGCAAGUAUUCUCUACUUUUCUUUGUUGACUAGCUUUAUACCUCACAUCCUCAUACCACCUGCAAAAUUUGAGCUCCACUAGUAACCUCAUUUUCAAACAUCCUCUUGUUCCUAUCUCAUACACUUGUUAAUACUAUUGAGCCCACUGACUGGAAUGAAGCUCUUGAUAUAAUUACAUAUGGUUCUCCUAAGCAGGUUUUCUUUUACUAACCAUCGACUUGUAUUCUGACCAAAAGAUAUGUCCUAGUUAUCUGAUAAUGCUAAGGCAAACCUCGUCUAGCCAAAUUGAUAGAAACAUUGUGAUUCACAUCUCUUUAGAUUUGUCUGAUAAAGCUUUAGCAAAAUGUGUGCCAAACUAAUAUAAUCUAUGAAAUUCCCAUCAUCAUCUUAGAUUUCUCAAUUUUUUUGUGUGUUUCACAUGAAAAUAGUUAUGUAGGGUUUCAAAAUAGUUGUGUAGGGUAUGUUCAUUUCCAUUUUACACUAGAUUGCUUAUAGUAAUAUUGUGAUGCUUCAUUAGUAGAUGCUCUAUUGAUUGCAAAUGCUUCUAGUAAGCACAAAAUAUGUUACAUUUUGAUUGUCUACAUAUUUUGGUGACAUAAAAAAUUUAGUGAACCGUUAGUCCAGUACUGCCUUGUCUGUUCUAUAUAGUGUGACAUUAUUUAGUUCUUAUCUGUAGAUGCUUCAUUUCAUUGAAUUGUCUUAAAUGCAUGUACUCGCGUAUCUAGUCUUACCAAGUUUCAUGUGCGGUGACCUCAUGUUUGUUAGUUUAGUUCAUUUUAAUCUUUAACUAAUUUGUAGAUGUGUUGCAUGCACAUAAGAUUUAUAGUAACUUGUUAAUAUAUUAAAUUUUGUUGAAUCCUAGAAAUUAUUCAUCAUCAUAUAUAUAUUUCAUUUUUUAUGCAUUUAAUUAUUUACAUUCAGUUGCUACUUUGCUAAAGGUGCUAGCAUGCCUCCAGUAUAGACUAUAGAGGUAAUGUUGUUUUGUAGUUUACUGUUUUUGUAUCUUUAAUGUAGAAAUUACUCAUUUUCUUUUGAUUGCUUUAGAAAGUGCUUAAAUUUGCUAAUGGUAAAAUUAUUUACUUCUUAAUCUGACCUACAAAUGCUUUUAUGUAGGUUAUACUUUAGUUGCUAUUAUGGUAAAUGGGCUAAUCCAUUGGAUGCCCCAAUACUCUGCUAUGAUGUUUUAGAAUUAGUCGAUCUCCAUGUCUCUAUGAUGGAUAAAUCUGCCAUUUUUUUAAUGCAUUAGAAGGUAGAUAAUGACAUAAUGUCAUCGGCUGAAGUUUAGAAGCAUGAAUACGCUGAUCACAGGUUAAAUAACUGUGAAACACAAAUGUUUUAUCUCUAGAUUAUGUUUAUGGUGGUCAGGUUGUUGGCUCUUUCUUUAUGUUCAAUUUCUUUUAAAAUGAUUUGUUUAUAUAUAAUUCAGCUGAUCAUUCCACCAUUUACAGGUGACAAACGUCUUGUUCCAGUUGGUAUGUGAGAUGAUGAUCAAUGCAUUGAAGAUGAGUUUACUGCAUGGUAUGACAUCUGCUAUGCAAAUGUGCAAAUGCAUUGAAGAUGACUUUUCUGCAUGCAAAGUACAUGAAGGUUUGGAUUAGUUUUGCAAAGUUUGAGGCACCUGCUAUGUUAGAGGAUGAGCAGGGGUCUGACUUUCCUGGAUGAAGUUCAGGAAUCUCUUCGUCAACAGCAACUGCAAUGCCUUCAGAAUACUAGAAGUAAAUUAUCUGAUAUUAUUUACCAUUGGUUUAUUUUGUGGAUGUAAUCCUAUUCACAAUUCAUUAUAGUAGUAAUUUAAAUUGAAAAGUGAAUUUGAGAUGUAUAUAUAGAUAAUUUGGUAUAUAUUUUGUGGAUGUAGUAAUUUGAAACUGUAAACGAAUGGUUUUAUUUGGAUGUAUUUUAAAUGGUUGAUACAUUUUGGCUUUAAAUUUAAAUGAAAAUUAAGACCUUUUUAGCUAUGUAUCAUGGCAUUAGCAGAUUGC
rnacentral:lncRNA from 1 species